AAUAAAGUGCCUGAUAAAAGGAUUAAAUUGUAAAUUUAAUUAUAGUGAAACUUCACUCUUUAUUA
rnacentral:tRNA from 1 species